rnacentral:rRNA from 1 species
GACGAACGCUGGCGGCGUGCCUAAUACAUGCAAGUAGAACGCUGAAGGCGGAGCUUGCUUCUCUGGAUGAGUUGCGAACGGGUGAGUAACGCGUAGGUAACCUGCCUGGUCGCGGGGGGUAACUAUUGGAAACGAUAGCUAAUACCGCAUAAUAGUAGAUGUUGCAUGACAUUUGCCUAAAAGGUGCAAUUGCAUCACUACCAGAUGGCCCUGCGUUGUAUUAGCUAGUGGGUGGGGUAACGGCUCACCAAGGCGACGAUACAUAGCCGACCUGAGAGGCUGAUCGGCCUCACUGGGACUGAGACACGGCCCAGACUCCUGCGGGAGGCAGCAGUAGGGAAUCUUCGGCAAUGGACGGAAGUCUGACCGUGCGACGCCGCGUGAGUGCAGAAGGUUUUCGGGUCGUAUAGCUCUGUUGUGAGUGAAGAACGAGAGUGACAGUUGAACGUUCACACUGUGACGGUACCUUACCAGAAAGGUCCGGCUAACUACGUG